GACGAACGCUGGCGGCGUGCCUAAUACAUGCAAGUAGAACGCUGAAGGAGGAGCUUGCUUCUCUGGAUGAGUUGCGAACGGGUGAGUAACGCGUAGGUAACCUGCCUGGUAGCGGGGGAUAACUAUUGGAAACGAUAGCUAAUACCGCAUAAUAUUGACUAUUGCAUGAUAGUCAGUUGAAAGGUGCAACUGCACCACUACCAGAUGGACCUGCGUUGUAUUAGCUAGUUGGUGGGGUAACGGCUCACCAAGGCGACGAUACAUAGCCGACCUGAGAGGGUGAUCGGCCACACUGGGACUGAGACACGGCCCAGACUCCUACGGGAGGCAGCAGUAGGGAAUCUUCGGCAAUGGACGGAAGUCUGACCGAGCAACGCCGCGUGAGUGAAGAAGGGUUUCGGAUCGUAAAGCUCUGUUGUAAGAGAAAAACGAGUGUGAGAGUGGAAAGCUCACACUGUGACGGUAUCUUACCAGAAAGGGACGGCUAACUACGUG
rnacentral:rRNA from 1 species